AGUGGCAGAGUAGGGACAGUUGCAAUCAAUUCAAGCACUUAAAAAGGACAAGCGCUUGAUGGUCGUGAAGUAGUGUGCAAUUGCAGUUUCUGUGACUCAGAGAAGAGCAAAGCUAUUGCCGAAUAAAGGAUCAUCGGUAGAUGUGAAUAACAAUAUCAGCAAGCCCUUUGUAUAAGCACCUUUCAAUAUGGCAAAGACCUGCAUCAUCGCUGCUGUAUUGGUUUUCGCCUUUCUUACAUAUGGCAUCAUACAAAUCAUCAUCAAGCUGUCAACAAACGACAAGGAAAAGGAAGAGGAAUCACUAAUCCACAUGUCCAGCUUAAAUCCACGUAAGAUUUC